UACGUAGGGGGCAAGCGUUGUCCGGAUUUAUUGGGCGUAAAGAGCGUGUAGGCGGCCAGGAGGGUCUGUUGUGAAAACUCGAGGCUUAACCUCGAGCUGUCGGCGGAAACCAUCUGGCUAGAGUCCGGAAGAGGAGAAUGGAAUUCCCGGUGUAGCGGUGAAAUGCGCAGAUAUCGGGAAGAACACCCGUGGCGAAGGCGGUUCUCUGGGACGGUACUGACGCUGAGACGCGAAAGCGUGGGGAGCGAACAGG
rnacentral:rRNA from 1 species